rnacentral:tRNA from 1 species
GACAAGAUGUCUGAAAAAGAACGGGGUUGUAAACCCCUUUAUGUGGAUUAAAGCUCCACUCUUCG